GAUGAAGAACGCAGUGAAAUGCGAUACUUGGUGUGAAUUGCAGAAUCCCGUGAACCAUCGAGUCUUUGAACGCAAGUUGCGCCCGAAGCCAUUAGGCCGAGGGCACGCCUGCCUGGGCGUCACACGUCGUUGCCCCCCCAUCUACUCCUUCGGGAUUGCGGGGGGCGGAUGAUGGCCUCCCGUGCGCCUCGUCGCGCGGUUGGCAUAAAUGCCAAGUCCUCGGCGACGCACGCCACGACAAUCGGUGGUUGCGAAACCUCGGUUGCCCGUCGUGUGCGGUCAUCGCGCAUCGAGGGCUCGAAAAAAUUGCCGGGCUCCGGCUCGGCUUUCAACGCGACCCCAGGUCAGGCGGGGUUACCCGCUGAAUUUAAGCAUAUCAAUAAGCGGAGGA
rnacentral:misc_RNA from 1 species